ensembl:snRNA U2 U2 spliceosomal RNA
GUCAAUUCUCAGCCUUUUGGCUAAGACCCAGUAUAGGAUCUGUUCUUAACAAUUUAAUAUCAGAUAUGUCCUCUGUCUGAGGACAACACAUUAAAUAGUUUUUUGGAGUGGGGAGAUGGAAUGAGAAUUUCCUCCAUUGGCUCCACACAUUGACCUGGUAUCCAGUACCUCCAGGAAGGGUGCACCCUUU